rfam:Candidatus Thrbacteria bacterium RIFCSPLOWO2_02_FTLL_54_37 rifcsplowo2_02_scaffold_9039, whole genome shotgun sequence.
CGGAUUGCCUGGUAACAGACAUUCUAUGCAGUACAAGAAGUCAGCAGAGCGCAUAGUACUCAGAAAACUUUCUGGGGAAGGCG